rnacentral:lncRNA from 1 species
GUCCUGAAUAUGCAUUAAGUAUUUGCCACUGGAGUUAAGCAACCAACAAUCAAUCAAUCUAGGUCAUUUUUAAAGGAAUAGAUGUCCACAGUACACUGAAACCUCACUAUCAUGGUGUUACUAACUUACUUGUAUCAAGUGGUGUCAAUCUACUGCUUGUGAUGGUGUUAUCAAUGGUGAUAGGGCUGUCAAUGACCUGCUACUACCAGACCUCAUUGUUGAGGGUGAUACACUUGAUCACCUGUCAAGCUUCUGUUGAGUGGUAUAAAUGACGAUUCUGUUCUGAAAUCUAAAUUAAAUAAAAAAAAAAAAUAAAUAAAAAAUAAACAAAUCAAUUUCAGACUCCUUUAUAUAGUAAAAUAGGACAGUAUGCAUACUAAAUAAACUCAUCAUAGAUACCAGGACUAAAAUUUGUAUAACGCCAGACGCGUGUUUCGUCUACAAAAGACUCAUCAGUGACGCUCGAAUCCAAAAAAGUUAAAAAGGUAAAAAAAGUACGAAGUUGAAGAGCUUUGAGGACCA